rnacentral:misc_RNA from 1 species
UUAAGUUCAGCGGGUAUUCCUACCUGAUCCGAGGUCAACAUUUCAGAAAGUUGGGUGUUUCACGGCAAUGGACGCGCCGCGCUCCCGAUGCGAGUGUGCAAACUACUGCGCAGGAGAGGCUGCGGCGAGACCGCCACUGCAUUUCGGGGCCGGCCCGGUGAGGGGCCGAUCCCCAACGCCGACCCCCCGGAGGGGCUCGA